AAGUCGUAACAGUUCCGUAGGUGAACCUGCGGAGGGAUCAUUAACGAGUAAGGGUCUUCCCGGCCCGAUCUCCCAACCCUUUGUCUACUCGACCAUCGUUGCUUCGGCGAGCCCGUCCUCACGGCCCGCCAGAGGACCCCUAAACUCUGUUUCUAUAUGUAACUUCUGAGUAAAACCAUAAAUAAAUCAAAACUUUCAACAACGGAUCUCUUGGUUCUG
rnacentral:misc_RNA from 1 species